rnacentral:rRNA from 1 species
UACGUAGGGGGCAAGCGUUGUCCUGAUUUAUUGGGCGUAAAGAGCGUGUAGGCGGCUUCACAGGUCUGCUGUGAAAACUCGAGGCUCAACCUCGAGCUGUCGGUGGAAACCGUGGGGCUAGAGUCCGGAAGAGGAGAGUGGAAUUCCCGGUGUAGCGGUGAAAUGCGCAGAUAUCGGGAGGAACACCUAUGGCGAAGGCAGCUCGCUGGGACGUUACUGACGCUGAGACGCGAAAGCGUGGGGAGCAAACAGG